rfam:Gallus gallus isolate RJF #256 breed Red Jungle fowl, inbred line TCD001 chromosome Z, whole genome shotgun sequence.
CUUGCAUUUGUGAGGACAGGAGCAUAAACUAUGACCUAGGGGCUCCUGUUUGAUUUUUUGCAAUCAAG